CACGUGAUAAGCAAUUGCCAAAAAACUCAGUACAAUGUUUGCUAGGACAAUUCUGGAAGGAUUCCAUUUUACCCAAACUAAUGUAAUUGGAAGGAGAGCUGCAAGAAACUUAUGGCUCGAAUUCUCCCAUCUGCCAGCUUUGCUAUGGUACCUGCUGUGGUGUUGGUGGACACUUUUUUGAGUAGGUCCCAAGAGCCUGGACACGCACAUAAUUUUAGGGGCAGAGAGAGUCAGCAGAAUUGGGAGAUAGUGACACAAAAAGCUCUAUCAGUGGACUACCAUCUGGGGCAGAGUUGACCUUGGAGUGACCACGGCCGACGUUCC
rnacentral:lncRNA from 1 species